AUUCUUAUUGCAACAGCCAGAGGUGGAAGGGCUCAUAUAAAAAGAGAAAAGGUGAUAAUGGAAGUGUCUGCAUGUUCUACCAGCCAAAGGGUGUAUUCAGUCCUCAGGCACAUUAUCUCAGGUUUCUUGGAGACCAUACUGCCACCUUCCUGCAUACCUCUUUACAGCCUCUAUUACAGGAGAGUCUGUGCACAGGAACAUAUUUUGCCUUGUUUUAUGUAGGUUGCUCUGAAAGUAAUGCCUCUAACUUAUUUCCAUGGAAAAGACAACAGAUACAAAGGGCACAAUAACACUGUGUGAUAGAGCAAAUUCUCGUCUACAAAGGACUGUUCCUCAACAUGGUCACCACCACUAGCAGUGCCUUUCUACCCGUGAUGAACAAGAGUCUGGUGCCAAUCUGUACCAGCAGAGGUGACCCACAUUGCUGUUGCCACUGCUGAAACGCACCACCCACUGCCUCACUGUGCUCACAUCCACUGUUUGGUCUCCAUAAAUGUCCACCAAGUGUCAGCGAAUGUCAGCGUGUGCCAUUUUUUCCACAUGGAGGAAUUCAGUGAUGCACCUUUGCUUCAUUCCCACUCCUGUGUCAGAUGCCAUUCUGUCAGACUGCCCCUCUGCCACCAUCUGUCAUACAGCAACAAAAUGUAACAGAUACUAGUGGGAAGGUUCAGUUUCUACUGCCAUACCACCAAUAUCCACCCUUGACAUUGGAGGCUAACAUCAUAAAACUGGAGGCACAAGUUUCAGAGUAGUGCUCAUAUGAAUAAAUAUCUCAUUACAGACCUAGAUGAAAUAUAUUCUAGCCUAGCUCUGGAUGUCUAACAGUCUAACGUAGUCAUUUCACUUCACUGCCAACCAACAGUGCAGAAUGCAACCAAGUGAAUCCAGCCCUUUGUCAGGAGGGAUGCUUGUAGCAUAGCAAAGGAAAUGAAUUGAGGUCUCUCAAAGAAGCGAAGAGGUUAAUCCCCAGUCUUCCUCUCAGCUUUCUGGAGACAAUUCUGGUCUGGAUAGAGAGGUGAAAGCCUUAGUGGGAGAUCCACUAGCCAGUUUUUCCGAGAGUAUGUUUCAAGCCACUGUUUUGAAGAUUUCUUGUGUGCUGCCAAAUCAUACUCUUGUCAUCGUGUGAUGGGCUCUGUCUUGCUUUGCUACCUAUUUGAGGGUGGCAUCAUCUGGCUGUACAAGGAGUUGUGGAAGUGAAAAUGAGGGUGUGAAAUCAUAUGAUUAGGCAAUUUUCUCCCAGUGAUAAAAACUAAAUUAAAAAUAGAUGUUAAACUGUUCAAUUAAUUAGAGUGCAAUAAUGUAGUCUGUUCUCAUGCUCUAAUUUGUGCCAUGUUGAAAGUAGCUGCGUUCUUCCCCCUCUGCCUCCUUAUAAAUAAAUCAUAUGCUUUCUGGAUCAACUCAUCCAAUUAUAUCUUAAUUGUUUCUAGGAGCAAACCUCACUACUACAUUAAUUGUCACACAAGCAUUUGCUCACAUAGGGCCAGAUUCCCAUUGGUGAUAUUUUAAUUAUUGUUACAGUGCAAACAUGGACCUCAACAGCUUAUUAACACUAGAGGGUAUAGAAAAGUUUUAACAGCAAACAAAAACCAAAAAGGGUGUUUCCUGUGAGGAUUUUGAUAACCUCUUUGCAUAUUCCUUUAUGAUAUUUCUGAGGAGGCUGGAAACCUGGCUAAAUCUUAGAAAUCUGAUGUGAAUACUGAUGAUACAUAUGGGAAAGUAUGUGACACCAGCAGCUCCAGAAUUAUGUUUGAUAUAUGCUAUAUAAAUAUGUAAUGCAAGACAUAUUCUGUGGUGAAGAGAAAGGGUUAACUUAUCAUUUUUUUUUACAAGUAAGUUUAUGAAGUAUGGGGGCCCAUGUAGGGCUUACAAAUGACAUUUAAUCAAGUAGGUGUGGAUUAAAAUAAAGAUUUCGAAACACUGAAUAAGGCUAUGAUGUUCUGACCUCACCAUGACAUUCACUGAGGCUUAUCCUCCCACAUCACUUUGGGACUGUUCAAUCUCCAGUUUUUGCAUGUAUAUUUUAGCAUAUGUUAAUGCUCAAUGUGGGUAGAUUUGGGAGAGGGCAAGAGAUGAUUAAAUGCACAGGCCUUAGUUAUAUUAUAGUUUGUUAAUCCUGGGACUGUGUUAGGUCUUCACAUUUAUCUUGGUUUCAAUGGUUAUAUGACAAUUUUUGAAAUACUACCUCCUGUUUGACUGUAUCCUUAUGUGACAAAAAAAAAAUAGAGGAAAAAAAGUUCAUUUUGAGUCAAGCAAAUUUUUAGGCUUGACACAGAAUAUUUCAGAUAGGAAUUCAGUUUUGAAAGCAAAUAAAUUAAUGGGAAGAGUUUUGCUAACAACUGUCACUUAAAACUGAGAAAUCAAAAUGUGACGUUUAGACAGUAGUGGUCAAAAAGUGUUUGGUUUCCCUUGAUCUUCCCUUCCACCCCCUAAAAUAAACCCCUUCCUGGUAAGCU
ensembl:lncRNA